CUACUCUUGACAUCCACGGAAUUGUGCAGAGAUGCGCAAGUGCCUUCGGGAACCGUGAGACAGGUGCUGCAUGGCUGUCGUCAGCUCGUGUUGUGAAAUGUUGGGUUAAGUCCCGCAACGAGCGCAACCCUUGUCCUUUGUUGCCAGCGCGUAGAGGCGGGAACUCAAAGGAGACUGCCGGUGAUAAACCGGAGGAAGGUGGGGACGACGUCAAGUCAUCAUGGCCCUUACGACCAGGGCUACACACGUGCUACAAUGGUUUAUACAAAGAGAAGCAAAUCUGUAAAGACAAGCAAACCUCAUAAAGUAAAUCGUAGUCCGGACUGGAGUCUGCAACUCGACUCCACGAAGUCGGAAUCGCUAGUAAUCGUGGAUCAGAAUGCCACGGUGAAUACGUUCCC
rnacentral:rRNA from 1 species